AGGAUGUUGGCAGUAAGAGAGAAGAGUGUACCCGAGUUAGCUUUGUAAAAAUGUGCAUCUCUGAGAAUCUGAUCCUGUGUCUCACGGCCUCUUGUAGAGACGGAAGGCACUGCGACAGCGUUAAAACCCAGCUGCCUCCCGGUGCCCCCAUGUUCAAGUUCACUAACCUCCAGCAGAAAGAUCAGCCCGUCGGUGGAUUCCCUCACUGGUUCUCGUCAGUACCAUGACCGCAUAAGCUGCUGGUGUGCGCGAAGCUCUGUGGGAAAGACAGGAUUUUGCUGCUGUUUCGUAAAUUUAUAAGUAUCCGUUCGCCGGGGAACAGGUCUGCCUUGGGUUCAACCAUACUGUAACAGGUCAGGUUGCUGAUUUCAUGUUGGCUCAACCAAGCUCAUGGUCCUUGCGAUAAUGAGAUGUAUAAAAUGCCAUAACAUGUUUUAACACGAGUGUGUGCCCACAUGGGAAAUGUAAAAGAAAAUGGAGACGAUUCAGGGUGUGUUAGAGGUUCUGAAAGAGCAAAGUAGACUUCAAAAGGACUUGGUUAUACAGUAAAACCUUGGAUUUCGAGCGUUCUCCAAGAUGAGCAAACAUGUCUAACAAAUUUUAACUUGAUAAGCGAGCAAUGUCUUGCUUUACGAGGGGUACGUGACACUGAACAUCACACGAUCACAACUGACCUGAUGGUUCUUUUCUUUUUUUAAUGUUUUAUUUAUUUUUGACACAGAGAGAGACAGAGCAUGAGCAGGGGAGGGGCAGAGAGAGAGACACACAGAAUCGGAAGCAGGCUCCAGGCUCCGAGCUGUCAGCACAGAGCCUGAUGCAGGGGUUGAACUCAUGAGCCGCGAGAUCAUGACCUGAGCUGAAGUCGGACGCUUCACCGACUGAGCUACCCAGGCGCCCCUGAGCCAAUGGUUCUUGAAAUGUGCUUUCAUAGACAAGUGCUUUGGAUUACACACAUGCGUCCGGAACAAAUUUUGCUUGCAAACCAAGGUUUUAGCAUAUUCUCAUUUUUUUUCUGUUGAUAAAUUUGCUGUUGCAGGAAUCGAGUGUGUUCUAGAGGGGGAAUCAGUAUGUUCUUCCUACUGACUUUAUAAACCGGGACAACAGUUGUAUGGAUUUUUUUGCAUCUCUCUGAGAAUUGGCUAAUUGUUCGUUUUACUCCGAAACAUUCAUUCAAUUCAAUGGCAACCUCAAAGCACAUUAAACACACAAAGUUUAAUAAUUCCA